AGUGAACGCUGGCGGUAUGCCUAACACAUGCAAGUCGAACGGCAGCACAGUAAGAGCUUGCUCUUACGGGUGGCGAGUGGCGUACGGGUGAGGAAUACAUCGGAAUCUACUUUUUCUUGGGUGAUAACGUAGGGAAACUUACGCUAAUACCGCAUACGACCUACGGGUUAAAGCAGGGGUUCUUCGCACCUUUCGCGAUUGUAUUAGCCGAUGUCGGAUUAGCUAGUUGGCGUGGUAAAGGCCCACCAAGGCGACGAUCCGUAGCUGGUCUGAGAGGAUGAUCAGCCACACUGGAACUGAGACACGGUCCAGACUCCUACGGGAGGCAGCAGUGGGGAAUAUUGGACAAUGGGCGAAAGCCUGAUGGAGCAAUACCGCGUGGGUGAAGAAGGCCUUCGGGUUGUAAAGCCCUUUUGUUGGGAAAGAAAAGCAGCAGGUUAAUACCCCGCUGUUCUGACGGUACCCAAAGAAUAAGCACCGGCUAACUUCGUG
rnacentral:rRNA from 1 species